UGGGCACAAUUAAAGAUGAUCGAAGUCAGGAUUGAGAUCAUCAGUGUAAAGCCAGAAUGGUGCUUGGCAUACAAGGCUCAGUCAGUGUUGGUUGUUACUGUUUCCUGAUUGCAGAGGGCAGGACAGCCUGUGUACUCAGGAGGGGAAGACUUGGAACCAGAAAUCCUGGGCUCGAAUCCUGGUCCUGCCAUGUACAAGCUGGCUUGUAGAGGAGCCAGUUAAAUCUGCAUACGCUCCAUGCCCAAAACCCCUUCAGAGGGGUUCUCUGUUCUGAGUUAUCCACUUUGCACCUUGGGACCCAGGAUACAACUGUUUGGACAGGAGUGGAACCCCGCUUAUGGACAGGUAACAUCUAGGCUGAUCAGAAGACUGUGAGGCAGCUCAGUGUGAGAAAUUCAAGCCACAGGGAUACUGGGGACCAACUGAACACUUCAGAUCCUUCUGCAGAUUUUGAGUAUAAGACAUGGAGAAAGGAUUAGUGUCAGUAUUGGGGCAGAAGCAGAGAGACACACAGAAGGAAAGUUCUAAGUAGAAGCCUUGAGUCAAUAUAAGCGAUGGGUGAAUAGGAGCCAUGAAUUAACAAGAACUGUGAGUCAGCAGAAACUGACAGAGGAGAGUAAGGACAGCAGAGGAAUAGGCCAAGACCCAGAGGUGCUGAGUCACCAUGAUGGCGGAGCCCGAGUGUGCCAGGCUAGGGUGCCCCUGCGGAGGGUCUUCCAAGGGGGUCCCCCCGAUUUACAGAGCUGCUGUUUGCUGUAAACCAAAGCUGUUCCAGCCUCUAGGAGGCUGGCUGGGUGGCUAAGGCUUUGCUUUCCCCCAUCUUGUAAUGAAACCUGAGAAUGUUUCUUUUCCUUACAACCUACAAAAACCUGUCCAACAACACCACCCCUAUCAAAGCUGAGACUGAGUGUCCUCACCUGCAAGAUGGGGACAGCUGCUGCUUUCGGGUUCAGCAUCCCUUCCCUGAGGCAAUGACUUUUAUCUGACACUUUGCAGUUCUGGUCUGCCAGCCCUGGGCCCAGCGUAUUAGGUGGCCACAUAAUCAGGCUGCCUGGACAGUCCAUUGCAGGGGUUUGCCUUUGAUGUAGAGACACCUCUGCGGCAGGGGAUGGAACCCCCGAGAGGGCUCUUGAGUCCCUCCGCCUGGGAUCUUCUGAGCUGUCCUGGUUCCUGUUUUCUAAGUCCUGUUUAUUCAGCUCUUUUGUUCUGGGACUUUCCAAAUUGCCUUCACAGAUUCUCUUUCCUUUUUUUAAGUAACAGCGCUAGCUGGACACACUCCUUGCAGGGUUGUUUUGAAGUGAAAUAAGACAGAGAGCUCCUUCCUACCCGUAGUUGUCCCCUCCCCCUGCCCUCUCCUGCUCUACCUGACUGAACAUCUCUGAACUAGCCCAAUGUUUUCCUCCUUUGACAAAAGAUUCUAAACCUAAACCAGCCCUCGAUUUACUGUGGCCUUUACCAAGUCCUUGCCAAAUGCCCUUUUGUGCUUCAGUUUUCCUUUCUGCGUAACAUAAGAUCUGAGUCAAACAGGGCUCCUCUCUGCAGUAGCUCAGGACUCCCCAUAGGUGGCAGCACAUGACCACAAAUGUCCUGAAAUAUCCCUUGCAGAACUCAAGACCAGCUGGAGAGAGGGCGUGUGUGAUGCUGGCGCAGAGCAUUUACCAGGUCUGGGAGAGAGGAGGAUGCAGGAGGGAGAAGAAAGGAGAGUGGGCGCCCUCUGGCCUUGAAGCAAGAUUAUUGGCUUGAGGUUUGAAGGAUAGGAGUAGUUGGUGCAGCCAGUCCAUCUACCCAUCCUUCCAUCUAUCCAUCCAUGCAACAAAUGUUUCUGAGCACCUGUUCUAGGCUCUGGAGAUGCUGCAGUGAACGAGACAGACACAGGCAGUCCCUGUCCUCACUGAGCUGGCUCCUAACUUAGAACAAUCUUUUUUUUUUUUUCAACCCUGUGGUACACCCCUUUGCCUUCUGGGCUUGUUUCCCCAUCUGUAAAAUGGGAUAAUAAACUGUGUACCUCACAGAUCUAUGGCGGCGAGGCUUAGGUGCUGGCACCCAGUCUGUGCUUCUUCCCUUUCCCUCUGCCCCACCCCCCUUCACAGGAGCUGAAGACGCUGCUGAACCCUGUGGUCAUCGAGUGGGGACUCAGUAUCCUCUCUGUGUCAGAGGGAAGCACCAGCCAGUCCACCCCUUCUGCAAAGUCUGGUCAAGCCUUGAACCUGAAGGAAUCCCCCAGGCUGGGUUAGGUUGGUGUGGCAGACUGCAUCUCCCAAAGAUGACGGCAACAAUGUGUCUCAUCCCACAGGCUCUUUUUCACAAGGUGAUCUUGACCCUCCUCCCACUGAGGGCUGGGACUUAGGUCCUGUCCCCUUGAAUUCAGGUGUACCUUUGUGACUGCUUCCAUUCAAAGAAUGCAGCAGAAGUGAUGCUAUGUGACUCCUGAGGCUAGAAUAAAAUCAUAAGUCACCACACACUCCUGUCUUCUCUUGGGGCCCAAUCCCAGCCUGGGAGGCAGCCCAGAUUAGCCCACGUGGAGAGACUUCAUGGAGAGGCUCCUGUCAGUGUUCUGGACAAUAGCCCAGGGGUUGACAGCCAGCAUCAACCACCAGAUGUGAGUGAGGCUGCCACCAGAUGAUUCCAGAUGGCCACCUAGUCACGCCCAACCCUUUAGAUUUCUCAGCUGGAGCUCCAGACAUCAUGGAACAUCCCUACUGUUACCUUGUCUGAAUUCCUGGCCCAAAGAUCCUCCCUGGCAGUGUGUGAGCGAGUAAUGACUGUUUUGCAUGAACCAGUGAACACAAGUCACUGCAGCACUGUGAACCAGACCCCUCGCCCACUGUGCAAAUGGCUUCCGGGUGGCCCAUCCCUUGGCUGCUGCCCACAUACAUCUGGGCAGCGGCAGGACUGAAAUGCUUUGCGUCCUUAGGUGGCAGUGUGGUACAGCUGCGAAGGCGCUGGGCUGGGACCCAGACUCUACCUCCCAGUGGGUCUGCCCGGCCACUCUCCCACAGUGAGCCUCCCUGUCCCUGCCCUUGAGAGGGGCAGCUGGCAGUACUGGGCCCGGGUAACUCACCUUCGGUCUAAGAUGAGAGCUAUUCCCAGCCAGGUGGUCAGAGCAUGGGCUCCAGAGCCUGGUCCUUAAUCUUUUUUGUGUCUGGGCCCCAUUUCAGAGUUAUGUUUUUAAAUAUAGAAUCCAUAGGAUUGCAAAGGCAGUCAUAUAUAUAUGCUUUAUUGAGGUUUAAUUGACAAAUUGUAAAAGUUUACACGUGCAACGUGAUGGUAUAUGAUAUGCAUAUCCUUUGUGAAAGGAUUCUCACCAUUGAGUUAACACAUCCAUCAUCUCACAGAUUUACCUGUUUCUUUUGUGUGUGUGUGUGUGUGUGAGAACAUUCAAGUUGUCCUUCUUAGCAAAUUUCAAUGACAUACAAUACCAUGUUAUCACCUAUAGUUACCAUGUUAUACAUUAGAUCCUCAGAACUUACUCAUCCUCUAACUGAAAGUUGGUAUCCUCUCCCUAACCCUCUUCCUAUUUAUCCCACCCCCUAGACCCUGGAAACCACUUUUCUAUUCUUUGUUUCUAUGAAUUUGACUUUUUUUUUAAUUAAAAAUUUUUUUUUAAGAUUCCACAUAUAAGGUAUAAGUGGACCCUGCAGUAUUUGUCUUUGUCUGGCUUCUUUCCAGCAACCAAUUACAUUAAAACACAUUUAACAAAAUAUUAACAAGUCAAGUUGUGAUGUAGCAGUGUGUGUGUGCUUCUUUAUUAACACACCACAUAAGGUGUGUUGGUGGGUCGGCUGCAUUACUAUGAUUGUAAUUUCAAGGAAGUGAUUCGUGUAAAUGACGUUCUAAGAUACCUGCGACAAAUGUAAUGGGACAUGGAAAUAUCUUUGAUUCCACUUGGUGAUGGAGUCGUGGGGGCUGCUGACUCCACUGCAGUUUGUUGUCAACAUUCAUGAUGGAAGAAAAUGCAAUGUUUCAGUUAGAUGUUUGGAAAUUUAAGAGGUAAUAUUUUUUCCCAUCCAAGUUCACUGAUUCCAGGUUAUAAGCUCAUGGACCCCAGGUUAAGAGGUGUUGCUGGAGUUAGGUGGACUCAGGUGCAGGACAUGUGUGUGGAUUGCUUUUCCUCCUUGCACCUCAGUUUCCUCAUCUGGAAAAUGAGUGUAAGACUAGUGAGCUCGUAGGGCUGCCAGGAGGAGUAAAUGCAAUAAACCAAAUUCAGCACA